AGCAAUUUUAACAUCACUGUAUGUCACUAAGCUUAAUACCAAGUAUAACGAAAAUGAAAUAGCACUUAUUUGAGGCAAUAAAUAAGACUCGAUCUUUCUUUGUCAAACUUUACCAGUUUCUGUUCGUUUGACACAGAAAUGGUAAAUCAUAGCAAACUGGAACUUUCCAGACUCGGUAUCUCAACUUUUUCAAAGUGAACAGUAUGAAAUUUAAUUCUACUGUUAUAGUUUAUUUUUAUUUUAUUUUUUUAAAUUAUAUAUAUAAAUUAAUGCUUUAAGUUUCAAAUAAUAAAUCUAUACUUCAAUGUUCACUAUUUUGGUCCAUUUCAAUGACGAUCACAAUAAAACCCUAAAAGGCAGCUGAGAAGCCACAUCUUCCUUGCAGUGAGAACUCCCACACUCUCUGCUCUUUAAUUUCGCUCAGCGCAUGUACCAGUUGUUCAUAAAUUCAUAUAUGUAUGUAUGUAUGUAUAUGUAUGCAGGUGCCCACUGAAAUAUGCACAUACGCUAGCAUAUUUUCGUAUUGGAUGUAUUUAUAUAUUCUUAUUUAUGUUCUGUGCAUAUGGUACGAAUUGCUUUGGUGCCGCCGGAUACUUGUGCUUGCCAGCUUCCUAGCUUCCUGCAACAAUUUGUGCUUUUCGCUGAUUUAGUACACACUCGGAGGCGGAAUCGAUCACUUGUAUGUCUCAAGUGAUUAAGGCGUAGGUUGCCGGAAAAUAAGUUGACCAAAAAUUCGUAAUACUACGAAUCAAAUUUUAAAUUGCCAGAAAUUCUAAUUAAACAAUAUUUUGAUCUCAACUGCCAAACAAAUCUGCGAAGAAAAUGGAGCACUUGCAUAUACUCGAAUGCUUCGCAUACUUCUGAGCAACUACUAAAGCAUUUACCACACCUAUGCAUACAUACAAGUGUAUGCACAGUCAAUGCACAAAAAUGUGCUAAAAAUUCAACGGUGCAUUUCUAUUUCUUUAACAGAUAGCGUGUGAUAGUGCGACGUGCCAAAAUUCUUAAAAAAUUUCAAAAACAGCUAAAAAAUAA